UCUCUGUGUCCACAACUGGCAGUUCGCCUGGGUAGGAGGCCAGAGCCAGGCAAUCUGUGCUCCAGCACCUAUGCUGACCUGGCAGCUGCUGGACACCAUGUGUGCACAAGAAUGUGGGCACUGGGCAGAUGCUCUGAAGGAGAGUGCAGAGGAGACCAAAGGGAGGGAGAGAGGGAUGGAGAUGGAGGGAAGUGCCAUCCUCGAGUCCAGGCCCACAGCUGGGACUACUCUGAUCCUGAGCCCAGGCCUGCUUUCUGCCAGAUAAUUAGCAGAUGUUGUGGAAGGCCUCUGUUUUGCUAUUUUCAGCUGCUCCUGUGUGUCUGCAUGUGUGUAUCAGCGGAAUGUGCGUGCACCGUGCGUGUUGAGUGAUGCUGCCACUCAUGUAUUCAUGGCCAGCUGCUCAUCUCUGCAACCCUGGGUGAGUGGGGAGAAGACAUCCCAUCUCUGACACCCUCCACUUCUCUCAACUCCCUUCCCUUUCCCUCUGCCCUCCCCUCCCUUUCCUUUCCUUUUCUGAGUCACAGCCGCCAGCCACAAGUCUGCGUAGGUCUGAGUCAUGCCUCAGCUCUUGUGAGAUGGGCCCUGCUGUCUGUGAAACCACAGACAUGAGAUAUGAGAAAUGGGAAAUGAGAGAACAAACAGACGCACAUGCUCACUUGCACAAACGCUCACACAGACGCACACACACACACGUUCGCACAUGCACACGCACGCACACACACACACACAUAUGCGGGGUUAUAUUCUUGUACCAGGAACGUUCUGGGAUGAAUUAGCUUAGGGCGAGACUGAAGCACCUGUCUCUCACAAUGACUGUUGGCUGUUGCAGCAAAGUGUCUGUGGCUUUGUGGGACGAGAGUUUGUUAUGAAUUUUGCAAAGUUACGUUUACUUUCCAAAACUAAUGAUCAGUUAUGAGUGUGCAUAUAUAGCCUCUAUCAGAUCUUGUUUAUUUGCACUGGAAUCUAUCUGAAACUACCUUAAUCUUUGAUGAUU